UCCCCAAAUCCCACAGCAUCCAAUCAAAGCAGCGGCAGCCUGUCCUCCCUCGGAUGAACCCGUUCAGAAAGAAAACCCUCACAUGUGAGUGCUGCUUUGCAAAUUAACUUUCUGAGACCCCUCCACACGUGACAGUCAGGGGACUUGUUUCGUGAUGCUCUGUGUGGAGGUGGGGCUGCAGGGGGCUCCUUCUACAGUGACCUGUUGGGUUUGGCCGCGGAGGCUCUCAAGGCCACAGUCUUGGGUGUGGCUUCCUGAAGGGGCCGCUAAAGCCAAACCCCUGCUUCUGUCCUGUUCAGUAACAUGGCUCACCAGGUGACAGGUAGAGGCGGCAGGAGUGAGGGAAAAGCCAUAAAAGGCAUGUGUCCCCUUGACUGUGGGCCACUGUGCCCUCCUCCUGGGAGCAAGGCUCAUACCACACACUCAAUGGGAGCAAUGAUGCAUAUGUCAUCAGCAAGGAGCACUGUCAUGAAUCUGGUGGCCCAGAGACCCCCUGCGUUUACCUGCGUGCAUCCCAGCUGCAGAAGACCAUGACGGCUACUGCAGAAGCCCUGCACAGCUCUGUUUCGCACUGCCUGCACGCUGUGGGUAGUGGGGCUGGGGGCUCCACCCUCGCCUUCCUCCCACAUGUAGGGAACAGUCCUUGGGUUAUUGCAGCAACCAUCAAGCCACACUCCCAGCAGACACCAAGUACGCUCCACCAGGGAGGCACCAUCCCAAAACCCUAAAUGGCUCAAAGAGAAGGUGGUCUCAGGAAGAAAGCCCAAAGUACUCUAGGGGGCUACUAAAAUGUCAGCGUGAAGGAAUGUGAGCCUUCUAGAUGCUAGAUUCAAUGCGCCCCCUUUCCACAACACUUUCAAUCUUGGGUGAGUCAUUCAACCUUGCAGAGCUCGGUUUCCUCUUAUGCAAAUCGAGGGUGCAAUAUCUGCUUUGUGUUAGGGUUAUGGGGAGAAGAGAUGAUAAUAAAAAUGGACUUGGGACAUCUAUCCUGGUGUUGACCCUCAAUAAACAUUCAUUUCCUUCUCUCCUUUCUUAAUCGAAAGGCUCUCUGGAUGCAAUGAGGGAUUUUACAGGUUAUGAUUUGCAUGCCUGGUAAAUUUAGUGGUGAAAUC
rnacentral:lncRNA from 1 species